GAUUAGUGGCGAACGGGUGAGUAACACGUGAGUAACCUGCCCUUGACUCUGGGAUAACCUCCGGAAACGGAAGCUAAUACCGGAUAUGACGUACGGAGGCAUCUCCUGUGCGUGGAAAGAAUUUCGGUCAAGGAUGGACUCGCGGCCUAUCAGGUAGUUGGUGAGGUAACGGCUCACCAAGCCUACGACGGGUAGCCGGCCUGAGAGGGUGACCGGCCACACUGGGACUGAGACACGGCCCAGACUCCUACGGGAGGCAGCAGUGGGGAAUAUUGCACAAUGGGCGCAAGCCUGAUGCAGCAACGCCGCGUGAGGGACGACGGCCUUCGGGUUGUAAACCUCUUUUAGUAGGGAAGAAGCGAAAGUGACGGUACCUGCAGAAAAAGCACCGGCUAACUACGUGCCAGCAGCCGCGGUAAUACGUAGGGUGCAAGCGUUGUCCGGAAUUAUUGGGCGUAAAGAGCUCGUAGGCGGUUUGUCGCGUCUGCUGUGAAAACCCGAGGCUCAACCUCGGGCCUGCAGUGGGUACGGGCAGACUAGAGUGCGGUAGGGGAGAAUGGAAUUCCUGGUGUAGCGGUGGAAUGCGCAGAUAUCAGGAGGAACAC
rnacentral:rRNA from 1 species